ACGGAAGGCAGCAGUGGGGAAUAUUGGACAAUGGGCGCAAGCCUGAUCCAGCCAUGCCGCGUGGGUGAAGAAGGCCUUCGGGUUGUAAAGCCCUUUUGGCGGGGACGAUGAUGACGGUACCCGCAGAAUAAGCCCCGGCUAACUUCGUGCCAGCAGCCGCGGUAAGACGAAGGGGGCAAGCGUUGUUCGGAAUUACUGGGCGUAAAGGGCGCGUAGGCGGCCAUUCAAGUCAGCCGUGAAAGGCCUGGGCUCAACCUGGGAAUUGCGGUUGGGACUGAGUGGCUAGAGAGCGGGAGAGGAUGGUGGAAUUCCCAGUGUAGAGGUGAAAUUCGUAGAUAUUGGGAAGAACACCGGUGGCGAAGGCGGCCAUCUGGACCGUAUCUGACGCUGAGGCGCGAAAGCGUGGGGAGCAAACAGGAUUAGAUACCCUGGUA
rnacentral:rRNA from 1 species